CACUCUCCAGAGCAUUGUCCACCU
rnacentral:siRNA from 1 species